AUUUUCUGCCGCUUAUUUGGUUCCAGGUCACGGUGGCAUGAAGGACAAGCACCUCAUUCCAUGCUUCCCUAUCCUUGGCCAAGUCCUCUAAUUCUUCUUGGGAGAUCCUCAAGUGUUCCCAAGCAAGAUGGGAAACAUAAACCCUCCAGCGUAUUCUGAGUCUAGCACAUUGUAAUGUUUGGGAUGGACUACACACUGGAGUUGUGUGUUUUAGAGUUUCUUUGUUCCUGUAGUUGUCAAUCAAAAGUCUGAGGUAACAAUUUACGCUGUCAACCUGAAAAAUGGCAGAAUAAAAAUGUUAGCGUUCUGUAGGCGUCUGUGUUACAGUUGUAUCACUAUGUUUAGCUGACUGUGCAACAUUGUGUUUGUCGUUUGACAGUCAUUAUUUCCAUUUCCCACAGCGGCUGACUUUGAGGGAAGCUGGUCAAACAGCAGAGAGGAACACAGUGCUGAUAUGCCACAGUUGGUGUCCAGAUCUGCAUGCCUUUUCCUCACUAAAUGCCUUCCUGGUUUCACACUGUCCAAUCAAAUAAGGAAGGACCGGUGCUCUGUGGACUACCCCCAUUAUAUCCCAAAGACUUGUCUGCCACCUGCUGGAUGGUUAGUGGAUGCUGUAUAAAUGAUAAAAAAAAAAAAUUCUGAACAGCUUUGAUUAAACUUACAUUUUUGUCUGCUUCUUGAGCACUGGACAAGUUGUGUACUCAUCACUGCCCUCCGUCCAGUGACUAAGCUGGCGCUGAUGGCUCACCACAGCAGAUCCAAUAUGGUUCUACCUAUUGAGUGGGAGCAGAUCUUACAGCAGAUGCUCUUCCUGAUGCAGCUCCACAUUACAAGAAGGAUGGGUAUGGGGGGGGUUGAACCAGGAACUUCACCAGG